GCGGCGGCGCCGCAUCGAGGCGGCCAUUUUGUGGCGCUGCGCGGUCGGUGGCGCUGGGCUCGGCGCGGAGCGGGGCCCGGGGCAGUUCGGCUCCGUUCUAACCCUUUUUCCCGUACAGAUCCCUCGUCUAAAAGUUGGUUUUAAUUGGUUGCCCACAGGAUUGGCUUGGCUUCUGCUACUUGUUAAGAAAAAAACAUCUGUCUUUGCAGGU
rnacentral:lncRNA from 1 species